rnacentral:rRNA from 1 species
AUGAACGCUGGCGGCGUGCCUAAUACAUGCAAGUCGAGCGAACGGACGAGAAGCUUGCCUCUCUGAUGUUAGCGGCGGACGGGUGAGUAACACGUGGAUAACCUACCUAUAAGACUGGGAUAACUUCGGGAAACCGGAGCUAAUACCGGAUAAUAUUUUGAACCGCAUGGUUCAAAAGUAAAAGACGGUCUUGCUGUCACUUAUAGAUGGAUCCGCGCUGCAUUAGCUAGUUGGUAAGGUAACGGCUUACCAAGGCAACGAUGCAUAGCCGACCUGAGAGGGUGAUCGGCCACACUGGAACUGAGACACGGUCCAGACUCCUACGGGAGGCAGCAGUAGGGAAUCUUCCGCAAUGGGCGAAAGCCUGACGGAGCAACGCCGCGUGAGUGAUGAAGGUCUUCGGAUCGUAAAACUCUGUUAUUAGGGAAGAACAUAUGUGUAAGUAACUGUGCACAUCUUGACGGUACCUAAUCAGAAAGCCACGGCUAACUACGU